CCUACGGGGGCGCAGCAGUGGGGAAUAUUGGACAAUGGGCGAAAGCCUGAUCCAGCCAUGCCGCGUGUGUGAAGAAGGCCUUCGGGUUGUAAAGCACUUUCAGUGGGGAAGAAAGCCUUGGGGCUAAUACCCUCGAGGAAGGACAUCACCCACAGAAGAAGCACCGGCUAACUCCGUGCCAGCAGCCGCGGUAAUACGGAGGGUGCGAGCGUUAAUCGGAAUUACUGGGCGUAAAGCGCGCGUAGGCGGUCUGAUAAGCCGGUUGUGAAAGCCCCGGGCUCAACCUGGGAACGGCAUCCGGAACUGUCAGGCUAGAGUGCAGGAGAGGAAGGUAGAAUUCCCGGUGUAGCGGUGAAAUGCGUAGAGAUCGGGAGGAAUACCAGUGGCGAAGGCGGCCUUCUGGACUGACACUGACGCUGAGGUGCGAAAGCGUGGGUAGCAAACAGGAUUAGAUACCCGAGUAGUC
rnacentral:rRNA from 1 species